rnacentral:tRNA from 1 species
UGUCUUGUGGUGUAACGGUAACACAGCUGAUUUUGGUUCAGUCGUUCCCAGUUCGAAUCCGGGCAAGACAA